rnacentral:rRNA from 1 species
UACGUAGGUGGCAAGCGUUGUCCGGAUUUACUGGGCGUAAAGGGAGCGUAGGCGGAUUUUUAAGUGGGAUGUGAAAUACCCGGGCUCAACCUGGGUGCUGCAUUCCAAACUGGAAGUCUAGAGUACAGGAGGGGAAAGCGGAAUUCCUAGUGUAGCGGUGAAAUGCGUAGAGAUUAGGAAGAACACCAGUGGCGAAGGCGGCUUUCUGGACUGUAACUGACGCUGAGGCUCGAAAGCGUGGGGAGCAAACAGG